rnacentral:rRNA from 5 species
UGUCCAUUUGGAGAUUUAAAUGGUCUAGCCUGCUCACUGAUAAAUUAUUGAAGAGCCGCGGUACUUUGACCGUGCAAAGGUAGCAUAAUCAUUAGGGUCUUAAUUAGAACCUGGAAUGAAUGGUUGGACAAAAGAAAAGCUGUUUCUAAUACAUAAAUUGAAAUUUACUUUUAAGUGAAAAGGCUUAAAUAAGUUGAAGGGACGAUAAGACCCUAUAAAGCUUUAUAUAUUAUUUAGAUCUAGUUAAUUCAAGUAAAUAACAACUAAGUUUAAUUAUAUUAUUUUGUUGGGGCGAUGAAAGUAUAAAUAAAGUUAACUGCUUAUUAGAAACACAAUCAUAGUUGAGUUAACUCAAUGAUCCUUUUUAAAGAUUAAAAGAUUAAGUUACUUUAGGGAUAACAGCGUUAUUUUUCUUAAGAGUUCAUAUCGAAAGAAGAGAUUGCGACCUCGAUGUUGAAUUAAAGUGUCUAUAUAAUGCAGAAGUUAUAAUAGAAG